GAUGAACGCUGGCGGCGUGCCUAAUACAUGCAAGUCGAGCGAACGGACGAGAAGCUUGCUUCUCUGAUGUUAGCGGCGGACGGGCGAGUAACACGUGGAUAACCUACCUAUAAGACUGGGAUAACUUCGGGAAACCGGAGCUAAUACCGGAUGAUAUUUUGAACCGCAUGGUUCAAAAGUGAAAGACGGUCUUGCUGUCACUUAUAGAUGGAUCCGCGCUGCAUUAGCUAGUUGGUAAGGUAACGGCUUACCAAGGCAACGAUGCAUAGCCGACCUGAGAGGGUGAUCGGCCACACUGGAACUGAGACACGGUCCAGACUCCUACGGGAGGCAGCAGUAGGGAAUCUUCCGCAAUGGGCGAAAGCCUGACGGAGCAACGCCGCGUGAGUGAUGAAGGUCUUCGGAUCGUAAAACUCUGUUAUUAGGGAAGAACAUAUGUGUAAGUAACUGUGCACAUCUUGACGGUACCUAAUCAGAAAGCCACGGCUAACUACGUGCCAGCAGCCGCGGUAAUACGUAGGUGGCAAGCGUUAUCCGGAAUUAUUGGGCGUAAAGCGCGCGUAGGCGGUUUUUUAGUCUGAUGUGAAAGCCCACGGCUCAACCGUGGAGGGUCAUUGGAAACUGGAAAACUUGAGUGCUGAAGAGGAAAGUGGAAUUCCAUGUGUAGCGGUGAAAUGCGCAGAGAUAUGGAGGAACACCAGUGGCGAAGGCGACUUUCUGGUCUGUAACUGACGCUGAUGUGCGAAAGCGUGGGGAUCAAACAGGAUUAGAUACCCUGGUAGUCCACGCCGUAAACGAUGAGUGCUAAGUGUUAGGGGGUUUCCGCCCCUUAGUGCUGCAGCUAACGCAUUAAGCACUCCGCCUGGGGAGUACGACCGCAAGGUUGAAACUCAAAGGAAUUGACGGGGACCCGCACAAGCGGUGGAGCAUGUGGUUUAAUUCGAAGCAACGCGAAGAACCUUACCAAAUCUUGACAUCCUUUGACAACUCUAGAGAUAGAGCCUUCCCCUUCGGGGGACAAAGUGACAGGUGGUGCAUGGUUGUCGUCAGCUCGUGUCGUGAGAUGUUGGGUUAAGUCCCGCAACGAGCGCAACCCUUAAGCUUAGUUGCCAUCAUUAAGUUGGGCACUCUAAGUUGACUGCCGGUGACAAACCGGAGGAAGGUGGGGAUGACGUCAAAUCAUCAUGCCCCUUAUGAUUUGGGCUACACACGUGCUACAAUGGACAAUACAAAGGGCAGCGAAACCGCGAGGUCAAGCAAAUCCCAUAAAGUUGUUCUCAGUUCGGAUUGUAGUCUGCAACUCGACUACAUGAAGCUGGAAUCGCUAGUAAUCGUAGAUCAGCAUGCUACGGUGAAUACGUUCCCGGGUCU
rnacentral:rRNA from 1 species